rnacentral:misc_RNA from 1 species
UUUUGCGACAAUUAUUAGGAAGCUAAAGCACUUUGACCUUAGGGACAACAUGUUACAAUGAUGGGAGUGACAUCUAAAGCUGCAGAUGAAUCUCAAAUUCUGCUGUGUAGAGAGACGCUUUGGAGAAAUUACAGUUCGUCUUGAUGUUUUGGGAAUUAAAACAAACAAGGAUCAAAAUGAUGAUAGAAAGCCAGAAGAUGAUGCAACUCGUAG